CGCCCGCGCUCUCGGGGCGGACUCCCGGCCCUCCGAGAUCUCCCGCCCGGCGAUGGCCCCGCUCGGAUAUUUCAUAUUCCUCUACGGCCUGAAGCAAGCGCUGGGCAGCUACCCGAUCUGGUGGCCAUCUGGACACAGCAAGGAUGUGGUCUCUCCACGGUGCCCAUGAGCAUAAUGAAAAGGAGGGCUCACAAAGAAAGAAAUGGCGUUUAACAGCAGCAGGAAGGCUCUCUAUCUUCAUAUCCAACCUAAUGGAGUUUCCCACAGCACCCCACCGGUCUCUGCUGUACCUAGAGCUCCCCAGCACUGAGUGGUACCUGGAGUGGAUGUCAGCCCAGCUGACCCCGGAAAUUCCCCGUGAGGCCGCGUCCAGUCUUCUCCCACCCCUGAGCCAGCUCAGCAGCCCGAGACGGACUCCAGUGCAGUGUUCUCGCUUCUCCCGACUCUCGCUGCUUCUCCACCCUCCUCCCUAG
rnacentral:lncRNA from 1 species